rfam:Schistosoma mansoni, Puerto Rico, WGS project CABG01000000 data, contig: 0034
AUCCAGCUGACGAGUCCCAAAUAAGAUGAAACUCGCGUACUGGAU